AUAUAUAAACAAAGAACACGUCCUUUUGUUUCCCAUUUUCAUCUUCUCCAAUACGGCAACUCCGAUUAGGGUUUCAUCUUCUUCUAUACGCUUCCAACUCACAACAGUCUACUUUCUCCCCAUAGAACCAGCUUUCGAUCAUCCAAAAACAAUCCCUAACGAUCUUUUUGAGGAAGAUGAAGGUUGUUAGCAGAUUUCAAUCUUCCGAUUUUGAUCGACCCAGCCUUCUUCUUCAAUCUAAAGACUAGGUUGCAAGGUUGAAGGUUUCGAAUCACAGGUUGAAGAGAAGAUUACAAUGAUAAGAGCAAGACUGAGUCAAAGAAGGGGAAUUUGUGAAAAGAUCCAUAUCACAACUUGGGUAUAUUAGUUUGUCUUUACAGUCCAACACUUCAUGUUGUUCAUUUGCUAACAUAAGAUAGUUAUAUUCUUUGAUUUUUAUAAACUUUUAAUUGUGGAGUUAAGGUAUGCCAAACAGGCAUGGGAAUAAGUCUACAAUGUGUAUAAACUAGGUAUUUAGAUGGUGGGUCAAAUAAAUCAUUCGAUUGCGUCAGCCCCAUGCUUUUCUUUUCUAAGUCCUUGAAGAUAAGCUUGGCAUUGAUUGUACGCUUUUGGUGGUAACUUUAAGUCUCCAUUUUCUAUUUUUAAUCAGUCUUAACAAUUUUAUUUGUUUUGUUUGGUCACUAGGGUUUGCCUAAUUGAAGGAAAACUGGAAAGGACAGAUUAACACAGUUCAUGUUAUAGUGGACAUGAAUCCUAAUGAAUUAGUGGCUGAUAUACUGCGGUAUCCAGAAUUUUUUUAGGCUUUGGAAAGAAUCCAGGCUGCUACUUGGGAGCUUCACAGGAUAUGUGGGAAGGAAUAAGGAAAUAAAUGUGUCAUAGAGAGUUGACUUGGUGAAGG